GGCUGGUCCGAUGGCAGUGGGUUAUCAGAACUUAUUAACAUUAGUGUCGCUAAAGUUGGUAUACCACCCCGCACUGCUAAAUUUGACUGGCUUUAA
ensembl:misc_RNA Y_RNA Y RNA